rnacentral:rRNA from 1 species
CGAUGAAGAACGCAGCGAAUUGCGAUAUGUAAUGUGAAUUGCAGAAUUCAGUGAAUCAUCGAAUCUUUGAACGCACAUUGCACCCUCUGGUAUUCCGGAGGGUAUGCCUGUUUGAGUGUCAUUA